GGCUCAGGAUGAACGCUGGCGGCGUGCCUAACACAUGCAAGUCGAACGGGGUUACUGGCAGCGGAGAUUCGGUCAAAGCAGCCUUAAUCUAGUGGCGGACGGGUGAGUAACGCGUGGGGAACCUGCCCUGUACUGGGGGAUAACAGUGAGAAAUCACUGCUAAUACCGCAUAAGCGCACAGCAUCGCAUGAUGCAGUGUGAAAAACUGAGGUGGUACAGGAUGGCUCCGCGUUGGAUUAGCCAGUUGGCGGGGUAACGGCCCACCAAAGCGACGAUCCAUAGCCGGCCUGAGAGGGUGAACGGCCACAUUGGGACUGAGACACGGCCCAGACUCCUACGGGAGGCAGCAGUGGGGAAUAUUGCACAAUGGGGGAAACCCUGAUGCAAGCGACGCCGCGUGAAGGAAGAAGUAUCUCGGUAUGUAAACUUCUAUCAGCAGGGAAGAUGAUGACGGUACCUGACUAAGAAGCCCCGGCUAACUACGUGCCAGCAGCCGC
rnacentral:rRNA from 1 species